GAUGAACGCUGACAGAAUGCUUAACACAUGCCAGUCAACUUGAAUUUGGGUUUUUAACUUAGGUUUGGGUGGCGGACGGGUGAGUAACGCGUAAAGAACUUGCCUCACAGCUAGGGACAACAUUUGGAAACGAAUGCUAAUACCUAAUAUUAUGAUAAUAGGGCAUCCUAUAAUUAUGAAAGCUAUAAGCGCUGUGAGAGAGCUUUGCGUCCCAUUAGCUAGUUGGAGAGGUAACGGCUCACCAAGGCGAUGAUGGGUAGCCGGCCUGAGAGGGUGAUCGGCCACUAGGGAACUGGGACACGGCCCUUACUCCUACGGGAGGCAGCAGUGGGGAAUAUGGGACAAGGGACCAAGCGUCUGAUCCAGCAAUUCUGUGUGCACGAUGAAGUUUUUCGGAAUGUAAAGUGCUUUCAGUUGGGAAGAAAGAAAUGACGGUACCAACAGAAGAAGUGACGGCUAAAUACGUG
rnacentral:rRNA from 1 species